rnacentral:snoRNA from 2 species
AAGCCAUGAUGAGGGCAUUGGUUGGUGUAACCCUUGAAACGCUCCCAUGCUUCAGAGAAGCUUUCACCAGUCUUCUGUGAAAAGCAAGAAAUCUCAUUUCUGAGUCU